UACGUAGGGGGGCAAGCGUUGUCCGGAAUUAUUGGGCGUAAAGAGCUCGUAGGCGGUGUGUCGCGUCGGCCGUGAAAACCUGCAGCUUAACUGUGGGCUUGCGGUCGAUACGGGCAUCACUGGAGUUCGGCAGGGGAGACUGGAAUUCCUGGUGUAGCGGUGAAAUGCGUAGAUAUCUGGGAGGAACACCGGUGGCGAAGGCGGCAUCCUGGACCAACACUGACGCUGAGGAGCGAAAGCCAGGGGAGCAAAGCGGG
rnacentral:rRNA from 1 species